rnacentral:rRNA from 1 species
UACGUAGGGGGCAAGCGUUAUCCGGAUUUACUGGGUGUAAAGGGAGCGUAGACGGAUGGACAAGUCUGAUGUGAAAGGCUGGGGCUCAACCCCGGGACUGCAUUGGAAACUGCCCGUCUUGAGUGCCGGAGAGGUAAGCGGAAUUCCUAGUGUAGCGGUGAAAUGCGUAGAUAUUAGGAGGAACACCAGUGGCGAAGGCGGCUUACUGGACGGUAACUGACGUUGAGGCUCGAAAGCGUGGGGAGCAAACAGGAUUAGAUACCCGAGUACGGCGACUGACU